rnacentral:lncRNA from 1 species
CGGCGAUUGAUCAGCGUAAGAAUAUUAUUAUUUAAUAUCAAUAUAUUGAUUGUUGGUGGCAACUUCGGUAUAAAGUUCAAACCAAAGCAUUUUGCUCUUACUUCUGUACACUUACAUUAUCCACAUGGUAUUUUGUUUGAACAGCAGAAGGCAAUAUAGCCAAUGAUAAAUCUGAAUAAACUGUAAACAAGUUUUAGUUGUAAAUUUGACAUUUUAACUCUGCAAAGUGUC